GACAUAGAACAUUAAAAAUUAUACGAUAAUUAAUGUAUUCUUUAGUAAAAGGCGAAAGAAUAGUUAUUAGUUUUCACAUAAUUUAAUAUAUUAUAUAUAUUAAAUAAUAAAUUUAAAAAU
rnacentral:snRNA from 1 species